AGAAUUCUAAGGUGAGCGAGCGAACUCUCGUUAAGGAACUCGGCAAAAUGACCCCGUAACUUCGGGAGAAGGGGUGCUCUUUGAGGUUCACGCUUCGAAGAGCCGCAGUGAAUAGGCCCAAGCGACUGUUUAUCAAAAACACAGGUCUCUGCUAAACCGUAAGGUGACGUAUAGGGGCUGACGCCUGCCCGGUGCUGGAAGGUUAAGAGGAGUGGUUAGCGCAAGCGAAGCUACGAAUCGAAGCCCCAGUAAACGGCGGCCGUAACUAUAACGGUCCUAAGGUAGCGAAAUUCCUUGUCGGGUAAGUUCCGACCCGCACGAAAGGCGUAACGAUUUGGGCACUGUCUCAACGAGAGACUCGGUGAAAUCAUAGUACCGGUGAAGAUGCCGGUUACCCGCGACAGGACGGAAAGACCCCGUGGAGCUUUACUGUAGCCUGAUAUUGAAAUUCGGUACAGUUUGUACAGGAUAGGUAGGAGCCUUAGAAGCGUGAGCGCUAGCUUACGUGGAGGCAUUGGUGGGAUACUACCCUAAUUGUAUUGGAUUUCUAACCCGCAGCACUUAUCGUGCUGGGAGACAGUGUCAGGCGGGCAGUUUGACUGGGGCGGUCGCCUCCUAAAGAGUAACGGAGGCGCUCAAAGGUUCCCUCAGAAUGGUUGGAAAUCAUUCAUAGAGUGUAAAGGCAUAAGGGAGCUUGACUGCGAGACCUACAAGUCGAGCAGGGUCGAAAGACGGACUUAGUGAUCCGGUGGUUCCGCAUGGAAGGGCCAUCGCUCAACGGAUAAAAGCUACCCCGGGGAUAACAGGCUUAUCUCCCCCAAGAGUUCACAUCGACGGGGAGGUUUGGCACCUCGAUGUCGGCUCAUCGCAUCCUGGGGCUGUAGUCGGUCCCAAGGGUUGGGCUGUUCGCCCAUUAAAGCGGUACGCGAGCUGGGUUCAGAACGUCGUGAGACAGUUCGGUCCCUAUCCGUCGUGGGCGUAGGAAAUUUGAGAGGAGCUGUCCUUAGUACGAGAGGACCGGGAUGGACAUACCUCUGGUGUACCAGUUGUCGUGCCAACGGCAUAGCUGGGUAGCUAUGUAUGGACGGGAUAAGUGCUGAAAGCAUCUAAGCAUGAAGCCCCCCUCGAGAUGAGAUUUCCCAACUUCGGUUAUAAGAUCCCUCAAAGAUGAUGAGGUGAAU
rnacentral:rRNA from 1 species